GACGAACGCUGGCGGCGUGCUUAACACAUGCAAGUCGAAAGGUAAGGCCCUUCGGGGUACACGAGUGGCGAACGGGUGAGUAACACGUGGGUGAUCUGCCCUGCACUUCGGGAUAAGCCUGGGAAACUGGGUCUAAUACCGGAUAGGACUCCUGGCUUCAUGGUUGGGGGUGGAAAGCUUUUGCGGUGUGGGAUGGGCCCGCGGCCUAUCAGCUUGUUGGUGGGGUAAUGGCCUACCAAGGCGACGACGGGUAGCCGGCCUGAGAGGGUGACCGGUCACACUGGGACUGAGAUACGGCCCAGACUCCUACGGGAGGCAGCAGUGGGGAAUAUUGCACAAUGGGCGCAAGCCUGAUGCAGCGACGCCGCGUGAGGGAUGACGGCCUUCGGGUUGUAAACCUCUUUCAGCUAUGACGAAGCGCAAGUGACGGUAGUAGCAGAAGAAGGACCGGCCAACUACGUGCCAGCCGACGCCGUAAGAC
rnacentral:rRNA from 1 species